rnacentral:rRNA from 1 species
AACGAACGCUGGCGGCAUGCCUAACACAUGCAAGUCGAACGAGACCUUCGGGUCUAGUGGCGCACGGGUGCGUAACGCGUGGGAACCUGCCUUUAGGUUCGGAAUAACUCAGAGAAAUUUGAGCUAAUACCGGAUGAUGUCUUCGGACCAAAGAUUUAUCGCCUUUAGAUGGGCCCGCGUUGGAUUAGCUAGUUGGUGGGGUAAAGGCCUACCAAGGCGACGAUCCAUAGCUGGUCUGAGAGGAUGAUCAGCCACACUGGGACUGAGACACGGCCCAGACUCCUACGGGAGGCAGCAGUGGGGAAUAUUGGACAAUGGGCGAAAGCCUGAUACAGCAAUGCCGCGUGAGUGAUGAAGGCCUUAGGGUUGUAAAGCUCUUUUACCCGAGAUGAUAAUGACAGUAUCGGGAGAAUAAGCUCCGGCUAACUCCGUG